GAUGAACGCUGGCGGCGUGCUUAACACAUGCAAGUCGAGCGAGUGAGUUCUUCGGAACGAUCUAGCGGCGGACGGGUGAGUAACACGUGGGCAACCUGCCUCAUAGAGGGGAAUAGCCUCCCGAAAGGGAGAUUAAUACCGCAUAAAAUUAUCGAGUGGCAUCACAUGAUAAUCAAAGGAGUAAUCCGCUAUGAGACGGGCCCGCGGCGCAUUAGCUAGUUGGUGAGGUAACGGCUCACCAAGGCGACGAUGCGUAGCCGACCUGAGGGGGUGAGCGGCCACAUUGGGACUGAGACACGGCCCAGACUCCUACGGGAGGCAGCAGUGGGGAAUAUUGCACAAUGGGGGAAACCCUGAUGCAGCAACGCCGCGUGAGUGAUGAAGGUCUUCGGAUUGUAAAGCUCUGUCUUUGGGGACGAUAAUGUCGGUACCCAAGGAGGAAGCCACGGCUAACUACGUGCCAGCCGCCGCCGUAA
rnacentral:rRNA from 1 species